UACGUAGGGACCAAGCGUUGUUCGGAUUUACUGGGCGUAAAGGGUGCGUAGGCGGCCAUGUAAGUGAGAUGUGAAAUCCCUCGGCUCAACCGAGGAAGUGCAUUUCAUACUGCAUGGCUUGAGGGAGACAGGGGUAAGCGGAACUGAUGGUGGAGCGGUGAAAUGCGUUGAUAUCAUCAGGAACACCGGUGGCGAAAGCGGCUUACUGGGUCUCUUCUGACGCUGAGGUACGAAAGCUAGGGGAGCGAACGGG
rnacentral:rRNA from 1 species